ACGUAACACUGUUUGACCUCACUCAGGACGUCUCUGGAGGAGCGACUCCAGCGGGAGCAGAGCUCAGGGAGGCUAAACCUCAGUGACACAGCAGUUGGAAGCAAACAGCUCACGUUCACUCUCAAAAAGACGGAGAGGCAGCGAUUUCAACAGCAGGCUGAACGAGACCAUCAUGAGGAGAGGAGGAAGAUCAGACGGGCGGCUGGACACUUACAUUCUAACAGGGGAGGACGAGGAAGAGGACGAGGUGGCGGAGGAGGAAGAGGACGAGGCGGUGGAAGAGGAAGAGGAAGGAGACCCUUUUAAACUCAGGACUGAUCGUCCUCAUGGAUGCUGAUAUGCAGGACUUUUAAAACAGCCUUAAAAUGUGUCUGAUCAUCAUCAUAGACAUCUGCAGGAACCACUUUUGUGUUCAAGAGACAGUUCCAUUACAGAUGCUGUCAAUGAUUCACAUUGAGAGAGAGCGAGAGAGUGUGUGUGU